GCGCCUCGGCACGGGGGCCGGAGUGAGGGAGCGCCUCGGCACGGGGGCCGCAGUGAGGGAGCGCCUCGGCACGGGGGCCGGAGUGAGGGAGCGCCUCGGCACGGGGGCCGCAGUGAGGGAGCGCCUCGGCACGGGGGCCGCAGUGAGGGAGCACCUCGGUACAUGGUGGUGCUGAGGGAGUGCUGCACUGAACCAACAACACAGAUGCUCCAUUGUUCUUGCAGCCACAUUAAACAAAUCACAAUGAAACCACUGAAUUCAAUAAACUCCAAUCAUUCUCAUCUCUGAGGCAAAAGUUACGGAUUCAGGACUCUCAUCAUGGCUUGAAUAGAACCCAGGCCAAAACUGCAGUGUGAUACAGAUGUUGACUGGAUGACACAUUCCUCUGUUCAGAUGUGCGGAAAAGAGAUGUGGACGGAAAUUUGAAAACUCAGCAGAUCAGGCCACAUCUCUGAGAGGAGAAACAGAGCUAUCAUUUCAGAUCAAAGAUGAUCGACGUUUCAGGUUAAGACUGCAGGAAGCAGCACCAAUGCAGUUGUCAAUGUCACGUGGAGGAAUCAUUAAACUGCCACGGGCAGUAAAGGAAUUGAACAAAGAAGCCCGGAGCAGAAGGGGGUAAAAGAGAAGCUCCAGCCCUGGUGAGACCAUCUGUGAUUACUGUAAGCAGUCCUGGGCACCACACUGGGAAGGCUGUAGUGGCCUUGGAGGGAUCGCCGUGUGGAUUUAUCGGGAUGAUACUUGGACACCAAGAUGAAUUUAUGAAUGGAGAUUACAGAUAGUCUCCUGGAAUCUAAAAGAAUAAGGGAUGAUUUUACUCAUGCUUUCAAAGUAUGACUGGUAACUGAUGUGGUAAAGAAACUAUUUGUGCUGGUUGGUAAAUCCAGGGCUGGGGACAAAGUGUAAAUAUCACAGCCAGGCCUUUCAGGAGUGAAGUUAGGAGGAAGGGAGAAGGGAGGGAGAAAUGUAGAAUUCGUUAAGAAGGCGUAUGGAGUGUUGGCCUUCAUUAGUCGGGGUACUGAGUUCAAGAGCCACAAGGUGAUGUUGCAGCUCUAUAGAACUCUGGUAAGACCACACUUGUAAAGAUUUAAAGGGGACAUGAGGGUACAUUUUUCACACAGAGGGUGGUGGGUACAGGCUGUCCAUGGAUAAUGAACUGGUUCUGUUUUUAUAGAUAUCCACAAGGUUAUUUCGUCCAGAAGUUGGAAAAUACACAAAAGUCACUUGAUAUGCUAAGCAUACCUCCACGAUAUUGUACUGAAUGGCAUCAAAGGCCUGGUAAGGACAAACAAUUACUAAAAAUGGAGAGAGAAAGGAAACUAGUUCUGCCAUUUGCAGGAUAGACCCAGUUGGGCCAAAGGGGCCGUGUCUGGGACUAAUCCCGUCAGUCCUAUUCUGCCACGUGGAAGAAGUUGGGGGGAGUUGAUGAGAACAUGAGGGAAAAACCAAUGGGGAGUGGGAUUGCUCUGUGAACCAGCAGAAUCCCGAUGGGCCAAAGUGGCCACCUUCUAUGUUGUAAGGAAAUAUGGAAACAUGCAUCUUCCUGCAACCUAUUCUCUCUCACAUACCAUCACCUUCCCCACCCAUCCCCAGUUCUCCUGCCACACAAAUACACAGAGGCAAUUUACA